rnacentral:tRNA from 1 species
GGGGAUUAAGCUCAGUGGUAGAGCGCUUGCCUAGCAAGCGCAAGGCCCUGGGUUCAGUCCCCA